CGAAAUAAACAAUCCUCUGGGAACUCAUUGUCAACCGAUUUGUGGGAUUUAUUACAGUUUUCCUUUAUCUGAUUGUUCCGAACUUGAUCAUAUCUUUGUAGCAGGUUUUGUAAAAUCUCAAGAUAUAAAAAAAUUUGGAAAUGACAACGGACAACUGCUCUUGGGCCGAAGUUGAAAGCCAUUGGAGUGCCACAAAAAUUAUCGACUACACGAUGUGGCACAUGCGCAAUGUACUUCUGACAUAUUAAAUAAAUGGUCACAGUAUAAAAAGCCAUUGGGUUAUAAAUUGGUAGAUAUGGAUUUUCACCAAUUAUAUCCAAAAGCAGAGUGUCUUCAUGACAAUUUCGAAACUUUCUGCUUAAAAAUUGACUCCGUGUUUGCAGAUCGCAUAAAGGACCAAUCUUGUAAACAUUUAUUCCAAAAUAUGAAACAAAUGGAUAACAUAAGUGAAAAUGGUCAUUGUAUUGGUAUUUUUUUCCUUUUACAUAGUCUUUUGGUACCGUCAACAAAAACGUUUAAUGUUUCAAAUGGGAAAAAAAAUAUGUACUAGAUUUACCAUACGAGACUCAACGAAGCUUUUUUAUUGAUGGAAACACAGUAGCCGCUUGUGAAGAAGAAUUGACGAAAAAAUAUCAAACAAGCCUUAAAAUUCAGCCGUUGAUAUUAAUUUCAGGUUCAAUAUUAGAACCAAAAGAAAUCGUGAUUUAUUUUGAAGGCAUAAAAUACCGAAUGCAUUCCGCAUUAAAUGCAAUUGAUAUCUGUUUUAAAAUAUUUUUUGUAUUUAAUUUAGAGUAUCCAAAAGAAUCUUUGUUAGUUUGGACGUUUAUACAAAAGCACUUAUAUAAUAUUUCGACAAAUAUUGAUUGUAGUAGUACCCAAGUUAAUACAUUAAUUUCAAAUUUGAAAUAGUUGUAUUAUUACUUAAUUUUCUAAGAAUAAUUUUUUUAUGUUUACAAAUAAUUUUUAAUUUUUUUAAUAUUUAUUAAUAAUUUAUGUUUAAAGCUUAGUUCAUAUCUAUCAAACAUUUGAUAAAAACGACAUGGCACUUAAAAUCGCUUUGUUUACUUAUUAAAACGUUUAUAAAAAUGUUAAAUUUUUACUAAAAAUAAUGGUUACGUUUUUAACAUACAUACAUAUAUUUGAUAGGU